CCCAUCCCGAACACGGUUGAUAAGCCCGCCUACGUAUCGGUGAGUACUGGAGUGAGAGAUCCUCUGGGAAACUCGAUUCGCCGCCUCCA
rnacentral:rRNA from 1 species